UUCACUCUCUUCUCCUUCAUCCACGUCAUCAAUUCGAUGUUUACCAGAGUGACGCGUGUCCCACCUUUUUAAUCCGCUGCGUUUCUUUAAAUCAGCCGUGUAACCAUUUGGGCUUUUCUACGUUAUGGGCUUCGUCUAAAUUAAUUUUUCUGUGCAGUUGGGUUUGUCUUGCUGUCAUGUGCGGCCCUUCACUAUUACGCUCGAAUGAAGUGUCGUUUUCAAUUAGGGUUACCCGUGUUCUUCUUCUCCAGCUCUCCAAUGUUGCUUAGGUCUUCUCAAUUGAUCUUUCAUCUUCUUCCCCAGAUGCCGAAACGAUACCAGUAACCGAAAAUCAUCUUAAAACCCUCCAUUAAUCUCUCACACACGAUUUCUAUUUAAUGUGAUUUCUGCUUCUCUAAAGCGGUGGAGGUUCAUCGAUAAAAAGACGGACCGGACCGCUAAUGCUCCUCUGUUGAAGUCUGGAUGCUCUGUUUCUGGGCGGCCAGUAAUGUCCGCCGUGGUGGAGAGCUUUUACUGGAUUCUCAGGCGACCAUGAUGUCGGCUACCGUGAAUGUUCACCGGCCUGCGACUCACAGGCCUUAUCGCCUGUCGGACUCCUCCCUGCUAAUCCAUUUUAGCGACUCAACUUCUUUCAAGGAGGUAACCGUAUACGUUACGUAAUUUGUUGUGUAAUUGUGAUUCGAGGUAAUUCUGUAACCGUAUCACAUUUAAUGGAGGGUUUUAAGAUGAUUUUCGGUUACUGGUAUCGUUUCGGCAUCUGGGAAGAAGAUGAAAGAUCAAUUGAGAAGACCUAAGCAACAUUGGAGAGCUGGAGAAGAAGAACACGGGUAACCCUAAUUGAAAACGACACUUCAUUCGAGCGUAAUAGUGAAGGGCCGCACAUGACAGCAAGACAAACCCAACUGCACAGAAAAAUUAAUUUAGACGAAGCCCAUAACGUAGAAAAGCCCAAAUGGUUACACGGCUGAUUUAAAGAAACGCAGCGGAUUAAAAAGGUGGGACACGCGUCACUCUGGUAAACAUCGAAUUGAUGACGUGGAUGAAGGAGAAGAGAGUGAACUUUUCUUUAUAGUAUUAGAUUUAUAGAUUUACAGUUAGUUUUGUCUUCAUCAUUAGAAAUAAUCAUAUUGUAAGUCAGUUUUAACAAUGUCCAUGUAACCGUGGCGUAUCUGGACAUAGUUUGGAUGCCCACCGAGAACCUCUGUUCCAUAGUUCCAUAGUUCCAACGUAUCUGGACCAUGUCAAUGCCCACCGAGAACCUCUGUUCCAUAGUUCGGAAGACAGUAACCGUGGCGUAUCUACGGUGAUCGAUUGGCUUCUUCUCCUGCUCUCGGCGUCGUCUCCUAGGGUUUUGAGGACAACCCAAGGUGUCGGUGCCUCUUGCUCUCGAGGAAGACAUAUCAGUUGCCGCUUAGGACGUCUGUUUCAAGGAGUGUCACUGCUUCUUAUGUGCUUCAAUUCCCUUCUUCCAAAGCUCCAGCGGAUUGCUUAAUGUAACCUUGUUGUCUCCACCGCAACUUAUGUGUCGCGUAGCGGAAUGGGGAGCUGAAACUACCGUCUACGCUUGAUCGUAACCUGUCCUUCACUUCCAGCGGGGUUGAUACGGGCCAACAUUUUCGUCGCUUGCUGCGAUAGCUUGGGUUUUGUUUCGUCGGCGUCUUCCUCCAAGCGGAGCUCCGGGGUGUGUGCCUGACGCUCUGUCGAUGCCUGCUUGGAGCCACUUCGGUGAAUGUUCGAUUGAACUUGACUUCAGGCUAUUCUUUUGCGUUCUGAUUAGUUCACCACAGCAAGAAGGCUUAGAAUUGGGAGCUUAGUUUACUGUCUUUUGUUCUUCAAUAUUUUAUUAACUUCAAGCACCAGUGUCGGGAAGCUUGGAUUUAAUCACCUAGAUUCUUUUGGGUUUUUUUUAAACUUUUGCGGCCCUCAAGAUUCUGAAUAGCUGAAAAGCAGAUCUUGGUUUCAAUUGAAUUUGUAACCAAACCUUCAUUAUGUUUAAUGAUAUUUACAAUUUAGCAAAAAAAAAAAAACAAUGUCCAUGCAAUAUUUAGA